GCCGGAAUAGCUCAGCUGGGAGAGAGUUAGACUGAAGAUCUAAAGGUCCCUGGUUCGAUCCCGGGUUUCGGCA
rnacentral:tRNA from 1 species